GUCCUUCUCCUGGUCACUUAAGAUAAGGAAUUGUGGAUUUGGAGAAGCGCGGUCCCACCAUCCAUGGGGCCCUCUCCUCCGGCCACAUUGUCCUGUUGACAAAACUCCAGCGUUUUUACAGAGGCUGUUUUCUCCACCAAAGUUCUUUAACAAAUGUUUGAGACAUUGACUAUAAUUUGUCAGACUAUCACAGAGAAGUGCAG